UACGAAGGGGACUAGCGUUGCUCGGAAUCACUGGGCGUAAAGGGUGCGUAGGCGGGUCUUUAAGUCAGGGGUGAAAUCCUGGAGCUCAACUCCAGAACUGCCUUUGAUACUGAGGAUCUUGAGUUCGGGAGAGGUGAGUGGAACUGCGAGUGUAGAGGUGAAAUCGUAGAUAUUCGCAAGAACACCAGUGGCGAAGGCGGCUCACUGGCCCGAUACUGACGCUGAGGCACGAAAGCGUGGGGGAGCAAACAGG
rnacentral:rRNA from 1 species